GAUUUCGGCGGCCAUUUUGUUUUUUCUUAAAUAGGCCCGUAUAUUUUUACUUUAUUUUCUUAUUAAUUAUCAAUAUUUGAGCUUUUUUAUGGUGUUUUUCGUGCUUAGCUUUUAAAUUAACCCUAUGUUUAUCUAUUUCCAGUCAUUUUGUCUUAAUAUUGUUACCAGAUUUCUUUCUCUCUCUUGCCUAGGAACUGUCAAAAUGGUUAAUUCGUUAUUUUAAGAUAUAUUUAUCAUAUUAAGUAACUCAGUUUAUUACAGGUGAGAUUUCCUUCAGUAACCUGCUUUUUUUCCCAUCAAAAUACCCCCAUUUGUUUGUAAAAUAUCAAUUAUGGGGUAUGGCUUGGUCAGUUCGCUAAGUUGUUCCUUGCAUUUUACAUUCUGUCUAUAGGUAGUUUGCAGCCAUUCAAUUUUAUUAACCAUUAUCUAUUAUUAUUUAUCCAGGGACCCUUUUUCUGAAGAAAUUACCAGUAUUAUUGGUUAUCAGUUGGAUUUUCUUCAUCGUGAACUAUGAAGGCUAGAAUGAGAACAUUUCGGCUGUCCCCACUGUCAACUGUUAUAUGCUGCGUUUUUUAGAGAGAUUUUGAGAGAGAUGAAAGUUUUUAUCGGUGGCCAGAUAUCCAUGAUCAACCAGCUGAUUCAUUUGAUUUUGAACCAGAUUUAAACCAAACUGUACCCCAAUUCCUGCAAAGUGCUCCUGAAAGUUUUUCUCUCUUAGAACAAAAGACUGGACUAAUUUCUGUGGCUAAAAGUAAGAAUCGUAAAAGAAAUGUUUUCAGAGACUUGUGGUCAAGCUGUGGAUUUGUUUCAUGUUUCACACGAUGCUUGGUUCACAAUGGCAAGAAUCAAGUUGAAAUGUUUGAAGGCUUUAUGGAAAAAAAGAAUUGGUUAUGAAUUUAUUAUACUUUAAUUUGAUAUUUUAAACUAAAUUUGACAAAAUUGUAAGUUAAAUACCUUCAAAACUGUUUUAGGAAAAGUUGUUUGAAAUAGUUCUUUUAAUUGAAUGAAAUAAGUUGAAGAAAAAUAUUACAGUUUAUUAUC